rnacentral:rRNA from 1 species
GUGCCAGCAGCCGCGGUAAUACGUAGGGUGCGAGCGUUAAUCGGAAUUACUGGGCGUAAAGCGUGCGCAGGCGGUUUCACAAGCUAGAUGUGAAAGCCCCGGGCUUAACCUGGGAACUGCAUUUAGGACUGUGGAGCUAGAGUGCGGCAGAGGGAGGUGGAAUUCCACGUGUAGCAGUGAAAUGCGUAGAUAUGUGGAGGAACACCGAUGGCGAAGGCAGCCUCCUGGGCCGACACUGACGCUCAUGCACGAAAGCGUGGGGAGCAAACAGGAUUAGAAACCCUGGUAGUCC